AUACACACAUAUCCAUCACACACACACACACACACAUACACACACACACACCUAUAUAAAUACUAUAUAUAUAAUAGUAUAUAUAAUAUACACUUUAGUCUAAACAUUAUUAACAGUUUAUGGUGCCUAUGGGAACAAGCUUUCAUUUUGACUGUGAUAUUAGUGGUUAAUAGUGGAUCUGUGGCUGUGGAGCUACUGCCCCUGAUCAACAGGACCUGAGGACCACUCUUGCUAUGUGUCCAAUGCUGUGCAUUAAAAGAGACGAGGGGAGCCCCCUGCCAGAGGAGUUAUCCACGAACAUAAGAUCCCCCACUCGCCUGCCCUGUACUCCAGAUAGUGUACCCAAAUCCCUUUUCUUAGUUUCCAUCGGCACCAAUUCUGUAGUCAGAAUUCAUAUUUGUUUUUACGUUUGCAGAAAAUUAGUAUUAGUCAAAUUGCAUAUAGGAAUGUUUGUGUACACACACACACACACACAUGCGCGUACACACACACACACAAUUCAAUGUAUUCCUCUCAUUGAUACUAAUCCAUAUAGUUUAACUAGUUGGAUGAUGUCAUAGAAGUAAUAAUAAUAAUGAUAAUAUCAACAAUAACUAAACAAUAAUAAUAUCGAUAAUGAUAACAAUAAUUAUAACAAUAUGAACAAUAGCAAUGACAAUAAAUGAUGACAAUAAUACAUAUAAAAUAAUGAAGAUGAUGAUGAUGAUGAUAAUAACAACAAUAAUAAUAAUAAUAACAAUAAUCAUUAUUAGCCAGUGAUGGAGUUUAACACUUAGGCAUCCAUGUUCACAUUCAUAUACAUUGCCCAUACCAUUUUUUUGUAUCUUGUUUUGAACUGAUGGACAUUUGAACAUUGCUUGAGCCCCACAUCCAAUCCGUUCCAAAGUUUCAUUCCACGCACAGACACACACAAACUUUUCCUUGUAGUUCUUACUUUUGGAAUAGUAAAGAUACUACACCCCCUUAGAUUAUGAACUCCUUCUCUGUUUGAAAUGUUUUUGAAUAUUGGCAGGUAGAACCUUUUUGUUUGCUUUAAAUAGUAAUUGAGCUGUAUUAAAAUCAACUAGAUCAGGCAGUUUUAAUAAUUUAAAUUGUAAAAAUAAAAAAUUUGUGUGGUCACAAUAUCCCACCUUGUGUAGAAUUCUUAUUGGACGUUUUUGGAGUGUAACCAGGGGAUGUAGUGAAGUUUUGUAGUUGUUGCCCCAGAUUUCUAUGCAGUAAUUUAGAUAUGGUAAGACCAAUGAACAAUAUAAUAAAUGCAGAGCUGUGUAAUUUAAGAAGAAUUUGGAUUUAUUGAUAAUAGAGAUGGUUUUGGAGAUUUUGCUUUGUAUAUGUCUUAUGUGUGGUUUCCAGCUUAAUUUAUUAUCAAUAGUGACUCCUAAGAAUUUAAUUUCUGACACCGUUUCUAGAAUCACGCCAUCUAUAUUUAUUGCUGGUCCUGGAUUGGAAUAGCCGAGUAACAUAACUUUUGUUUUCUUUAAAUUAAGGGAUAAUUUGUUUAUAUCUAACCAUGUUUUUAAUUUUGCAAGUUCAUUAUUUAGGGUGGAUACAAAAUGUGUAUAAUUAUCGUUAGAAUAGAAAAUAUUAGUGUUGUCUACAAAUAUGACUAAUUUUAAUACAUUUGAUACUGUAAAUAUGUCAUUAAUAUAUAAGUUAAAUAACUUGGGACCAAGAACGGAUCCCUGUGGAACCCCACAAGCAAUGUCCAAAUGCCCAGAUGUAAACUCGCCCAUCUUCACAAACUGCUGUCUUUGUGUUAAAUAGCUCCUUACCCAAGUCAAAGCUACUCCCCUUAUUCCAUAUCUGUAUAAUUUUUUCAGUAAUAUUUGAUGAUUAGUGGUGUCAAAUGCUUUACUCAGAUCCAUGUAAAUUCCAGCUGCAUAUUUCUUACUAUCUAAGCUAUUGGUUAUCUCUUCUACUGCAUCAAUUAUUGCCAUAGAUGUUGACCUUGCUGUCCUAAAACCGUAUUGACUUUCAUUAAUUAUCUUAUGUUUAUCUAUAAAUUUCUCUAAUCUAGUGUUAUAUAAUUUCUCCAAGAUUUUGGAAAACUGCGGGAGCAAAGAGACAGGUCGGUAGUUUGUGAAGAUGUGUUUGUUCCCAUUUUUAUAUAUUGGUAUUACCUUUGCCAUUUUCAUUUUAUUAGGAAAUUGUCCUGUUUGGAAGGACAGGUUAAAUAUAUGAGUUAGUGGUUUGGUGAUGGAAUGUAUGUUUUUUUCACAAGUGUCAUAUCUAUGUCAAAACAAUCAGUAGAUGUUUUAUUUUUGCAAUUAUUAACAACAUCUAUUAUUUCCUCUUCAGUUACUCCCAACAGAAACAUACUCAUUGGAUUCAUUUCAAUCAGUGACUCCAUUUCAUUGCUGCUAUAAUCAGGGAUUUUGGCUGCCAAUUCUGAUCCGACAUUUACAAAGAAACUGUUAAAACUCUCCACAACAUUAUUCAUAUUAUAAUUAUCUUGGUUGUUAUCAGCUAGGAUACAAGUUAUUUUUUGAUUUGCCUUUAAUUAUAGUGUUAAGUAUUCCCCACACCUCCUUAGUGUUGUUCUUAUUCCUAUGUAAUAGAUUGGUAUAAUAUAUUUUCUUACUAGUCCUUAUUAUAUCAGUCAAUUUAUUUUUAUAUGUUUUAUAUCUAUGUUCAGAGUCUUCAAUCAGUUUCUUUGUAUAUUCAUUUUUUGAGCCAGGUUUUACAUUACUUAAUUUGAUGAAUUGUCUAUAUAAUGUGUUUUUCUUUUUACAAGCGUUUUGUAAACCCUUGGUUAACCAUGGGCACUUUAAAGUUUUGUUGUUGUUUGUAAUUUUUUUAUUGGACAUUUUUGGUUAUAUAUUGAAUUAAAUAUAUCUAUAAAUGAUUCAAAGGCACUAUCCACAUCCUUUUUGUUGUACACGCAAUCCCAGUUUUGCAUUGUUAGGUCCUGAUUUAAUAGAUUGAAAGAGUCUUCUGUUCUAACUCGUUUGUAAGUAUAUUUUUGCUGUGAAUUCAGGUCUGUACUGGUCUCAUCAUUAUACACUGUGAAUACAGGCAGAUGAUCGGUUAUGUCACAGACCAUUACUCCACUGAUGUUUGAAGACUGCAUAUUAUUUGUGAAGAUGUUUUCGAUGAGGGUUGCACUGUGCGAUGUUAUUCUAGUCGGUCUUGUAAUGGUUGGAUAUAAACUCAUACUGUACAUCCUGUUAAUAUAGUUUUCUGUUGCUAUGCGGUUAUUUGGAUUCAUGAGAUCAAUAUUAUAAUCCCCACAAAUAAAUAUUGUUUUAUUAACUAUUUCUGAGAAAGUUUUUUCAGCCCACUCAGUAAAUAGUUCCACAUUUGAACCUGGUGACCUGUAUAUACAGCUAACUAUGAUAUUUUUCUUCCUUUCAUUAAUGAUUUCUAUUGAUAAGCAUUCAACUAUAUCAUCAUUUACUGAUACAGUCAUGUCUUCUAAUAUUUUGUAUUUAUAUUUCUUGUGAACGUACAUAGCGACUCCUCCACCCAUUUUAUUUGUUCUGUUAAUAGUUUAAAUUAUAAUCCUUUAUCUCAAAAUCAAUGCCUUUUGCUUCAUUAAACCAUGUUUCAGAUAUAGCAAUUAUGCUAAAUGGAUUCACAAAAUGUUGUAAGUAGUCUUGAAUUGCACUGGAAUUUGCAUACAUGCUUCUACUGUUAAAAUGGAUGACUGAAAAUGUGCCUUUUGAUUUUAUUGAGUUAUUAUAUUCCUUUUCUGAAUAGUAUUUGCAGUUAAUGGAGUCAGAUGAUGGAAACAUAUUAUCUGGAUCGAGAUGAUAUUCCAAGUCUAAUGAAUUGUGAUCAGUAUACUCAGAUAAUUUUAGAUCAAAAAUCUUGGAAUCUAGAAUCCUUUGUUGUAUUGUUAAAUUGUUGUCUGUAAUAUCAGUCUGGUGUGCCAUGGGAGAUUAAGUAGUUUCACCCAUUUGGGUUAAAACAUUUUUUGCAAACCAGUAAUUAUAAUCUGUAAGUAGUGUACCGUUGUUAAGUGUCUGCGUGGUCUAGAGCGCGGUUGAGUAACCGUGUAAUAUUCUUCCAUAUCAGUAGGUGGCAGCAUGUAGCUAAUUGCUUUAUAGAAGUCGGGAACGACGACGAUAGUUUUUUGUGAUCCCAAUACGCAGACGACAGGUGGGGAAAAGGCAUCUAAUGCUUAAACAAAAAUAAACAAAAGGCGAGUGCCGCUAAAUAAACGCAUUGAAGCUUUGGCUAUGCAAAACGAAACUAAAACUGAACUGGUUGCAAAGUAAACAAAAACAAAAUGCUGGACGACAGCAAAGACUUACAGCGUGUGGAGCAGAGAUGGCGUCCACAAAGUAUUUUCGAACAUGACAUGACAAUCAAUAAAGAAGGAUAGCAUCCGCAAAACUUAAAUAGUCUUGAUUGCUAAAACAAAGCAGGUGCCGGAAAUAGCGCUUAAAGGAAACUGCUACAGGAAAAUACCAACAAAAGAGGAAAAGCCACAAAAAUAGGAGCGCAAGACAAGAAUGAAAACAUUACACACAGGAAAACGGCAAAAACCUCCAAAUAAGUCAGGGCUUGAUGUGACAGGUGGUGACAGUACACCUACUUUGAGACAAGAGCUAUAGUGAUGCAUGCUUGGUGAUGGUUUGAAUUCAUAUCCAACAAUUGUGACAACGACUUUUUACUGUCAAUAUCCGUUGCUGGUUUAAUUUUUAAUGUUUUCUGCUUGUGGUGUGCUUCAGGAUUUUUACAAUGAAAAAAUUGUGCCUUGGCUCAAAAAAGGUUGAAAAACACUGGACUAGGUGUCGGCACGGACAACAAAGGCGGACAUUUUUAGGACUUAUGCAAAUCCCAAAUACAGAUCAGUAGGUACCGAAAGGUAAGAAACGUUGCUUUUGCAUAAUAUUGCGAAACAAAAUGGCAGAUAAUGUCUUACCUUACACACACACCACGAUAAUACUCCUUUGUUGAAGCACAGUACAAUCCAUCAAGCGGUGCGGCUUCAUAGCUUACCAAAGUCCUACUAAAACAUUUUAAUCGAUUUUUGAGGGCCUUGUGUAAUGUUCUAUAUUUUUAACGGAGCAUAUGAAAUGUUGGUGUUGUUUACCUGAGUCAUAUUGCAGUCUACACAUAUCUCUUGUGUGUGACUACCAUCAUAUUACAGUCUGCACGUAUCUCUUAUGUGUGACUGCCAUCCACUGGUCAGACCCAUCAUUACACCAUGUCCCAAAUAAAAUAGCUUAGAGGUCAGUAAGCACAACCAAAAUGAUUCCGUACAUUAGGCGCACCGGGUUAUAAGGCGCACUGUCGAGUUUUGAGAAAAUAAAGGAUUUUAGGUGCGCCUUAUUGUCCGAAAAAUACCGUGUAUAAUUUAUAUUUAUUUGUUUAUGAAAGAUACGUUUUUAUUAACACAGUGUUUAAUGAUAAUACAAGCAUGUUUAACACAUAUAGAUUCCUUUCUUUCAUGAAGAGAAGAAUAUAAGUUGGUGUAUUACCUGAUUCUGAUGACUUGCAUUGAUUGGAAUCAGACAGUAGUGAUAACGUCCACAUUUUCAAAUGGAGGAGAUUAAAAGUCCUCUUUUCUGUCCAAUACCACAUGAAAGUGGUUGCUUUUUGCCAUCUUAUUUGUCCAGCUUCCAUACUCCUUUUUAAUACACUUUACAAGAAAUACAUUGUCGGCUAAUUCAGUAGCUUGCUAGCUUGUGCGCGCCAGCUUUCGGAGAGUCUUAUUUUGUUAGCGCAGGCAGGGAUGAAGAAGCGCUUUUAUUGUGAAGACAGGAACUGUGCAGUCGGUCUUUAGACUUGACGGAGUCUGUUGAAAUAAAAAAUGUUUCUCGCCUUCAUGUCGGUCGUUUUUUCUUAAUAAUGAUCUGGCAUCAGCCAGCGUCAUCUCACAAGACCCUCGGGUGCCGUGAAUGUCAAUCAAGUGACGAAAGUGACGUCUUGGUCAAGAUUAAUAAUCCCUAAUUUUUAGGUCUAUUUUUUUAACACCCUCCACCGCCGACCGGUAGCCCGCGAUCAACAUAAUGGGCACCCCUGGUUUAAGAGAUUUCACCGGGUUUUUUGUUGAUGACCCGUCCCCCACCCCUGCCAGCUGCUAGACACCCGCUUUGUGCAUCAUGGAAACAAGCCAGACUGAUAACGCGCCACAUGGCCCUUUGCACCGGGGAUUGGUGUGUGUGUGUGUGUGUGUGUGUGUGUGUGUGUGUGUGUGUGUGUGCACAGUGUCUACAUCCCCCUCUCUUUGUGGCAUGGAGAUGUGUGUUCUGAUCUCUGCGCAAACACACACCUUUCACACACACACGGUGUCAACCCGGCAGCUACAACAUUAGGUACAGCUCAGAGAUAACUAGAAAAGGACCCCUUUAUAGUUCAUUAAACUCAGGCUCAGCAACAUGUUUUAUUGAUUUUAUUGACUGACUUAUUUACAUGUGUCUUGGAAAAGAACUGACUGACCAUACCAUUAGGUACACCUGCCCACUCUGAUAACAAGCUAUAUGUUAGGGCUGUGAAUCUUUGGGCACCACACGAUUUUAAACCAAUUCUUGAUUCAAAAUCAAUACUUUUUAAUAACAUUGGUGCCAGUUUCAUGAUUAACUCAAUUCGCUUCAAAAAAAUGGAUAAACCACUCUGAUACAUUUCUAUAUUACUUAAAAGACAACUGGUUUUGUUAAAAAAAAAAAAAGAGACAUUAAAUAAAGUCAAAACCAGUGAAGUUGGCACGUUGUGUAAUUCGUAAAUAAAAACCGAGCACAAUGAUUUGCAAAUCCUUUCAAUUUAUAUUCAAUUGAAUAGACUGCAAAGACAAUAUACUUAAUGUUAGAAAUGAGAAACUUAUUUUUUUUGCAAAUAAUCAUUAACUUUGAAUUUAAUGGCAGCAAAUUAUUGGCACAGGGGCAUUUUUACCACUGUGUUGCAUGGCCUUUUCUUUUAACAACACUCAGUUAAAGGUUUAGGAACUGAGGAGACCAAUUUUGGAAGCUUUUUAGAUGGAAUUCUUUCCCAUUUUUGCUUGAUGUACAGCUUGUUGUUCAACAGUCUGGGGUCUCCUUUGGGGUAUUUUAGGCUUCAUAAUGCACCGCACAUUUUCACUGGGAGACAGGUCUGGACUACAGGCAGGCCAGUCUAGUACCCACACUCGUUUACUAUAAAGCCACGCUGUUGUAACUAGGGUUGGGUAUCGAAUAUGGAAUAUCGAUUGAAACUGGGACUAACUUUCCGAUUCUCCCGGAAUCGUUCAAAAGUUUAAAUUUCGAUUCCUAGUUUCGAUACCCAGUCCGCCGACCGGAAGAAGAAGCCGCUGAACACCAACGAAGAAGCGCCCACCGCCGGAAGUGUUAGCAUAGCCGAGCCUAUGUAGCCGAGCGAGUCAGUCAAGCAUGGAUAGCGGGCGUCGGGGGUCGAAAGUGUGGCUUUAUUUUACUAAAAAAAAUGAAAUAUCGGCUAAAUGUAACACGUGCGACAGGACUGUUUCGUGCUUAGGAGGGUGCACGUCGAAAAUGAUGAAGUACCUCCGAGUUCAUGGAGUACAAAUAAAUGCGUGUCCCGUCUUCGACGCGCUGCACCGACCGUCCUCCUCUGCCUCUUCCUCUGGCUCCGGCUCCGACGCCCAGCCUGGCACCUCGGUGACUGCACUGCAGUCCGAAUCCGGUAAGUAAAACAAUAUAUAUGCAAUAAAUAAUGUGUUUUGCGCCAACGUUAAGGCAGCUAACAAAUUAGCCGGCGUGUUUUUUCAUAGACAAUUUACAACCUGCUAGCCAGGCUCCGCGAUGUGCUCAGCGUACUCCGUUCACCAUAGCGGCAAUGGGGAAGAUGUCGGUGCCACAGACGGAAGAGUGCCACAGAAAGGUCACUGCACACAUAGUCAAAAGACUGCAUCCCUUUUCAGAGGUGGAAUCUCCAACAUUCAGGGAUAUGGUGAAAACUCUCAACCCAAAAUACAUACCACCUUCCAGGGACUACCUGGCAAACACAUUGAUCCUGAGAUGGUAUAAGAAGAAUCGGAAUCGAGAAUUGUCAGGAAUCGGAAUCGAAACAAAGACUCAGAAUCAGAAUCGUUUGAAUUCAAACGAUACCCAAUCCUAGUUUUAACACAUUGCCUGGCAUUGUCUUGCCGAAAUAAGCCGGGGCGUCCAUGAUAACAUUGCUUGGAUGACAGCAUAUGUUGCUCCAAAACCUGUAUGUACCUUUCAGCAUUAAUGGUGCCUUCACAGAUGUGUAAGUUACCCAUGCCUUGGGCACUGAUACACCCCCAUACCAUCACAGAUGCUGGCUUUUCAACUUUCCGCCUCUAUCAUUUCGAAUGGUUCUUUUCCUCUUUUUUUUCCGUUUGUUGCACUUUUAUUGUUUCAUUAUUUUUAUCUUGCAAUUUUACUUUUUAUUCGAACCCUUUUACUGUAGUGCUUUUGCACUAUCUUGUUUCGCUCAUUCAUUGUUUAUGUUCUUUGUUUGUUUUUUGUUUUUUUUGCUCUACUGUAUGCUUUUUAAACUGUAAAACAUUUUGGUCCAAUUUAAAAAUUGUUGUAAACGAGCUAUAUAAAUAAAGUUGCUUUGACUUGCCUUGC